GGACUACUGGGGUUUCUAAUCCUGUUUGCUACCCAUGCUUUCGCUCCUCAGCGUCAAUACCAGCCCAGAGUGCUGCCUUCGCCAUAGGUGUUCCUCCUGAUAUCUGCGCAUUUCACCGCUACACCAGGAAUUCCACACUCCCCUACUGGAUUCAAGUCAGCGCAGUAUCGGAUGGCGUCUCGGGGUUGAGCCCCGAGCUUUCACAUCCGACUUACGCAACCGCCUACGAGCUCUUUACGCCCAAUAAUUCCGGACAACGCUCGGUCCCUACGUCUUACCGCGGCUGCUGGCACGUAGUUGGCCGGACCUUCUUCUGUGGGUACCGUCAGUUUCGUCCCCACUGAAAGGGGUUUACGACCCUAGGGCCUUCAUCCCCCACGCGGCGUCGCUGCAUCAGACU
rnacentral:misc_RNA from 1 species